AAUAAUAAAAUAAUAACUCUAUAUUUUUCAACAAAAAAUAUAAUUACAAUAUAUUAAUAAUUAAAUCAAAAAAACAAAAAUACUAUUCUUCUUCUUCUCCGCUCAUCACCUCACACCUGUCUAUCCCAAAACCAAAACCCACCAAAAUCGGCCCACUACCACUCAAAAUGCAAACACGUCUCUGCCGCCAUAUGGCAAAAGUGGAGACACUUUCUUGUAUAUCACAUUCAUUGGCAACCUCCAUCACAUGGGAUCUGAGUGCAUUUGCACUGUCUCGAGUGAUGAUUAUAGGGGGUUUUGGUUUGUUCUUUGAAUCAGGGGGUCUACCUCUUAGUCUUCUAGUCAUUUCCCCUUCUUCGGUGGUAAGCACUAUCUCUUUCCCCUCGGCGAUUCCACCGAUGGUGGUGAUGGUGGCGGUGUGGAAAUAUCAUAAUUUUCAUCACAAUCUCUCUUUAGGUUGCGAUUUAAAUGACUGUUUUCGCUUUUUUAUCUUCGAGAUCCCGCUGGCGGUUUUGGAAUUGGUGGUGGUGGAGUUGAAGAUCUCUGACCUGAAUCGAAGAUAACAAAAUGCGUCCUCGAGCUAUUAACUUAUCCAUCACUUAACUUGAAAUACAUGUCUACUUCUUUAACUUAUAGAGAAUCUUGAUGAACAUGUUCAAAUUUAGACGAUUUUGGUGGGUUUUGGAUUUGGAAUGAGUGGGUGUGAGAGGGGUGAGUGGAGAAGAAGAU
rnacentral:lncRNA from 1 species